rnacentral:rRNA from 1 species
CCCUUAGAUGUUCUGGGCCGCACGCGCGCUACACUGACGAAUGCAACGAGCUUAUAACCUUGGCCGAAAGGUCUGGGUAAUCUCCAAAUUUCGUCGUGAUGGGGAUAGAUUAUUGCAAUUAUUAAUCUUCAACGAGGAAUGCCUAGUAAGCGCAAGUCAUCAGCUUGCGUUGAUUACGUCCCUGCCCUUUGUACACACCGCCCGUCGCUCCUACCGAUUGAAUGGUCCGGUGAAGCGUUCGGACCGUGGCCUUUGGACGGUUCGCCGUCUGUUGGUUGCGGGAAGUUCGUUAAACCUUAUCAUUUAGAGGAAGGAGAAGUCGUANCA